GUUUGUUUUCCUGCCGGAGGCUGGAAAGCGGCCGAGUUCCUGCUGCACUGCCAUGCGCCGCGCGGCCCGAGCGACUCGCGGGACUUCCCGGGCGUCCCUGCAAGGACCCCUCGACCUCUCCUAGCAGGGAUCGCCCCCAUUUCCAGGUCUCGAACGGGCUGCUGCGCCCCACUGGCAGAGGAGCUGCGCUCACCGCACGGGCGGGCCCCGCCUGCGUUCGUGGCGCCUACUCAAAGCACACCUCUGGAUUCAGCCCCCAAGAUACCAGUUUGCAGCUUCUGGUCCUGACAAGUCUGGAAUCUCUGUAUGCUAAUGUCACAUACUUGGAGAAUCAGCCAGAAUUGUGAAGUCUUCUCCACUGGGCAAAAUUAACAUUUGUUGAGGUACCCUGGUUCAUUGGCAGAUGGGAUUCUCAUCCAUAGAUUUGACUUCUCAUAAUCACAAGAAAGCUGCCUCAUCCCUACAUACUACUACAGUUUUACACACAAUCAUGUUUAAGGCAGAAAGAUGGAGCAGACGUCCUUGUCAACUGUCUUUAUCAGCAGAAGACUGAUCUUUGAAAAUAUGUAUUUGGGAGACAGUUGCGUUGUAUUGAAUCCCUUGUGCUGGUGCUGCCAUCGAAAAGUCUGGUUACACGCCGGGGAGGCCUGCUACCGCUGCAGGACUGAACCGCCCCAGCCCUGAGAUGAGUGACCGGCCUGAGCAGGCACACCAUGAAUAGAUACACAACGAUCAAGCAGCUUGGGGAUGGAACCUACGGUUCCGUCCUGCUGGGGAGAAGCAUCGAGUCUGGGGAACUGAUUGCUAUUAAAAAAAUGAAAAGAAAGUUUUAUUCCUGGGAGGAAUGCAUGAACCUUCGGGAGGUUAAGGUAUU